rnacentral:misc_RNA from 1 species
CUCAACCGCAAGGAGGGGGAUGCCUAAGGCAGGGCUAGUGACUGGGGUGAAGUCGUAACAAGGUAGCCGUACCGGAAGGUGUGGCUGGAUCACCUCCUUAAAGGGAGACCUAAUUCAGGUAGGAGACGAAAAAAAAGUAGUCCCUACCAAGAAUCAAUCCCAAAAGGUCGGAGCGAGGCGAAAUUGGCUUUCAAACUAGGUUCUGGGUUCACACAAGACCUGAAUCAGGAACAAGGGCUAUUAGCUCAGGUGGUUAGAGCGCACCCCUGAUAGGGUGAGGUCCCUGGUUCGAGUCCAGGAUGGCCCACCUGCACAGGUGGCAAAAACAAAGAAAAAAGGCUCCGAAUCAGCACCUUAUCUUACUUAUAUAGUAAGAGAGAAUGCUGGCUCUGAGUACAGAGUCCAGAGGAACCUUGAAAACUGCAUAGAGCUAGGUGAAAAAGCCAAAAAAGAAGACCGUUAGGUCAAGCUAAUAAGGGCUAACGGUG